CGGGGCGUAGCUCAGCCUGGCAGAGCGCUGCGUUUGGGACGCAGAGGCCCGCAGUUCAAAUCUGCGCGCCCCGACCA
rnacentral:tRNA from 1 species